rnacentral:rRNA from 1 species
UACGGAGGGUGCAAACGUUGCUCGGAAUCAUUGGGCGUAAAGCGCACGUAGGCGGACCGCUAAGUCGGAUGUGAAAGCCCUCGGCUUAACCGAGGAAGUGCAUUCGAAACUGACAGUCUUGAGUAUGGAAGAGGGUCGCGGAAUUCCCGGUGUAGAGGUGAAAUUCGUAGAUAUCGGGAGGAAUACCAGUGGCGAAGGCGCUGUCCUGGACGAAGAUUGACGCUGAGGUGCGAAAGCGUGGGGAGCAAACAGG